UUGCCAGUGAUGGUUAAGAAUUUCUUCACCUGAAUAAACCAUGUGGUCAACAUUGUAUCUGAGGCAAA
ensembl:snoRNA SNORD36 Small nucleolar RNA SNORD36